rnacentral:rRNA from 1 species
AGUGGCCGGACCGGCGCGACGGGUGAGUAACGCGUACUACCAACCUCGCCUUUACUAUGGGACAGCCCGUCGAAAGGCGGAUUAAUACCGUAUGUUGUCAUGUUGAUGCAUAUUUUCAUGACCAAAGGCUUCGGCCGGUAAAGGAUGGGGAUGCGUCUGAUUAGCUUGCCGGCGGGGUAACGGCCCACCGGGGCGACGAUCAGUAGGGGUUCUGAGAGGAAGGUCCCCCACAUUGGAACUGAGACACGGUCCAAACUCCUACGGAAGGCAGCAG